rnacentral:rRNA from 1 species
UACGUAGGGGGCAAGCGUUGUCUGGAUUUAUUGGGCGUAAAGAGCGUGUAGGCGGCCAUACAGGUCCGUUGUGAAAACUGGAGGCUCAACCUCCAGACGUCGACGGAAACCGUAUGGCUAGAGUCCGGAAGAGGAGAGUGGAAUUCCUGGUGUAGCGGUGAAAUGCGCAGAUAUCAGGAAGAACACCCGUGGCGAAGGCGGCUCUCUGGGACGGUACUGACGCUGAGACGCGAAAGCGUGGGGAGCGAACAGG